GGUCUUGUUUAGCGGGGCUUAUCCAGCGGGUCUGGAACAAAUACGUAACGUGUGACAGGUCCGAACAAAAUUCUUUCCCGUGCGUGAGUGGUUGAUGUUAUUCCGUAACUUUUUCGACAGGAUAAUUCCGUAACUCUUUCUGCGAGAGAGUGGAAGAGAUAAGGGCUGCAGAAGUUAAAAAGACUAUUUCCUGUCGAAGAUUCUGCUGGAGCCCUGAUCAAGCACCCGGUAUGGAGCAGCUUUUGACACUUUGCUUUUCAGCAGGACUUCUGAAUCUUAAAUCACAGACUUUGAUAGUCUGAGUCAGAGAAACCAGACAGAUUGGCUGCUGGUGUCUAUAUUGCAGAAGCUGAUGUUUACAAAAUCACUCAGAGGCUUAAAAAUGGUAUUUAAGCGGAAUCACCUGGAAAAAAUGGGCAACACUUGGAAAAUCUACUUGAUAGAGACCUGGAGGGGCAUCCUGAAAUGAUACAGGUUUGAAGAUGUCCAUAUUUCCAGGAAAGUAGGAAAGAGAAAAAAGUGAACAGUUCUUGGCAGCUACUUUUUAAAAG